AGCGAACGCUGGCGGCAGGCCUAACACAUGCAAGUCGAACGAACUCUUCGGAGUUAGUGGCGGACGGGUGAGUAACACGUGGGAACGUGCCUUUAGGUUCGGAAUAACUCAGGGAAACUUGCGCUAAUACCGAAUGUGCCCUUCGGGGGAAAGAUUUAUCGUCUUUAGAGCGGCCCGCGUCUGAUUAGCUAGUUGGUGAGGUAAAGGCUCACCAAGGCGACGAUCAGUAGCUGGUCUGAGAGGAUGAUCAGCCACAUUGGGACUGAGACACGGCCCAAACUCCUACGGGAGGCAGCAGUGGGGAAUCUUGCGCAAUGGGCGAAAGCCUGACGCAGCCAUGCCGCGUGAAUGAUGAAGGUCUUAGGAUUGUAAAAUUCUUUCACCGGGGACGAUAAUGACGGUACCCGGAGAAGAAGCCCCGGCUAACUUCGUGCCAGCAGCCGCCGUAA
rnacentral:rRNA from 1 species